AAGGGGUAAGUAGAGUGGCGCACGGGUGAGUAACACGUGGAUAACCUGCCUUGGAGUGGGGAAUAACCUCCCGAAAGGGGGGCUAAUACCGCAUAACACCUUUAGACAAAAGUCAAAGGGUUAAAAGGAGCAAUUCGCUCAAAGAGGGGUCCGCGCCUGAUUAGCUAGUUGGUGAGGUAACGGCUCACCAAGGCUUCGAUCAGUAGCCGUCCUGAGAGGGAGCACGGCCACACUGGAACUGAGACACGGUCCAGACUCCUACGGGAGGCAGCAGUGGGGAAUUUUUGGCAAUGGGCGAAAGCCUGACCAAGCAACGCCGCGUGGGUGAUGAAGUAUCUUGGUACGUAAAACCCUUUCGGCAGGGACGAACUCAAUGACGGUACCUGCGGAAGAAGCCCCGGCUAACUCCGUGCCAGCAGCCGCGGUAAUAC
rnacentral:rRNA from 1 species